rnacentral:rRNA from 1 species
GACGAACGUUGGCGGCGUGCUUAACACAUGCAAGUCGAACGGAAAGGCCCUGCUUUUGUGGGGUGCUCGAGUGGCGAACGGGUGAGUAACACGUGAGUAACCUGCCCUUGACUUUGGGAUAACUUCAGGAAACUGGGGCUAAUACCGGAUAGGAGCUCCUGCUGCAUGGUGGGGGUUGGAAAGUUUCGGCGGUUGGGGAUGGACUCGCGGCUUAUCAGCUUGUUGGUGGGGUAGUGGCUUACCAAGGCUUUGACGGGUAGCCGGCCUGAGAGGGUGACCGGCCACAUUGGGACUGAGAUACGGCCCAGACUCCUACGGGAGGCAGCAGUGGGGAAUAUUGCACAAUGGGCGGAAGCCUGAUGCAGCAACGCCGCGUGCGGGAUGACGGCCUUCGGGUUGUAAACCGCUUUCGCCUGUGACGAAGCGUGAGUGACGGUAAUGGGUAAAGAAGCACCGGCUAACUACGUGCAGCAGCCGCGGUGAUACGUAGGGUGCGAGCGUUGUCCGGAUUUAUUGGGCGUAAAGGGCUCGUAGGUGGUUGAUCGCGUCGGAAGUGUAAUCUUGGGGCUUAACCCUGAGCGUGCUUUCGAUACGGGUUGACUUGAGGAAGGUAGGGGAGAAUGGAAUUCCUGGUGGAGCGGUGGAAUGCGCAGAUAUCAGGAGGAACACCAGUGGCGAAGGCGGUUCUCUGGGCCUUUCCUGACGCUGAGGAGCGAAAGCGUGGGGAGCGAACAGGCUUAGAUACCCUGGUAGUCCACGCUGUAAACGGUGGGUACUAGGUGUGGGGUCCAUUCCACGGGUUCCGUGCCGUAGCUAACGCUUUAAGUACCCCGCCUGGGGAGUACGGCCGCAAGGCUAAAACUCAAAGGAAUUGACGGGGCCCCGCACAAGCGGCGGAGCAUGCGGAUUAAUUCGAUGCAACGCGUAGAACCUUACCUGGGUUUGACAUGGAUCGGGAGUGCUCAGAGAUGGGUGUGCCUCUUUUGGGGUCGGUUCACAGGUGGUGCAUGCCUGUCGUCAGCUCGUGUCGUGAGAUGUUGGGUUAAGUCCCGCAACGAGCGCAACCCUUGUUCACUGUUGCCAGCACGUUAUGGUGGGGACUCAGUGGAGACCGCCGGGGUCAACUCGGAGGAAGGUGGGGAUGACGUCAAGUCAUCAUGCCCCUUAUGUCCAGGGCUUCACGCAUGCUACAAUGGCUGGUACAGAGAGUGGCGAGCCUGUGAGGGUGAGCGAAUCUCGGAAAGCCGGUCUCAGUUCGGAUUGGGGUCUGCAACUCGACCUCAUGAAGUCGGAGUCGCUAGUAAUCGCAAAUCAGCAACGCUGCGGUGAAUACGUUCCCGGGGC